CGGGUGUAGCAUAACGGUAAUGCACCAGCUUCCCAAGCUGGCUACGAGGGUUCGACUCCCUUCACCC
rnacentral:tRNA from 1 species